GACGAACGCUGGCGGCGUGCUUAACACAUGCAAGUCGAACGAGAGCGUAGAGAAAGCUUGCUUUUUCUACAAUCUAGUGGCAAACGGGUGAGUAACGCGUAAACAACCUGCCCUACGGAUGGGGACAACAGCUGGAAACGGCUGCUAAUACCGAAUACGUUCCGAAAGUCGCAUGACUAUCGGAAGAAAGGAUGGCCUCUAUUUAUAAGCUAUCGCCGGAGGAGGGGUUUGCGUCUGAUUAGCUAGUUGGAGGGGUAACGGCCCACCAAGGCGACGAUCAGUAGCCGGUCUGAGAGGAUGAACGGCCACAUUGGAACUGAGACACGGUCCAGACUCCUACAGGAGGCAGAAGUGGGGAAUCUUCCGCAAUGGGCGAAAGCCUGGCGGAGCAACGCCGCGUGAGUGAAGACGGCCUUCGGGUUGUAAAGCUCUGUUAUACGGGACGAAUAAUCUUGUGGUUAAUACCCAUGAGAAGUGACGGUACCGUAAGAGAAAGCCACGGCUAACUACGUG
rnacentral:rRNA from 1 species